rnacentral:rRNA from 1 species
CCUACGGGUGGCAGCAGUGGGGAAUAUUGGGCAAUGGGCGCAAGCCUGACCCAGCAACGCCGCGUGAAGGAAGAAGGCUUUCGGGUUGUAAACUUCUUUUCUCAGGGACGAAGCAAGUGACGGUACCUGAGGAAUAAGCCACGGCUAACUACGUGCCAGCAGCCGCGGUAAUACGUAGGUGGCAAGCGUUAUCCGGAUUUACUGGGUGUAAAGGGCGUGUAGCCGGGGUGACAAGUCAGAUGUGAAAGCCUGCGGCGUAACCGCAGAACUGCAUUUGAAACUGUUGAUCUUGAGUACUGGAGAGGCAGACGGAAUUCCUAGUGUAGCGGUGAAAUGCGUAGAUAUUAGGAGGAACACCAGUGGCGAAGGCGGUCUGCUGGACAGCAACUGACGGUGAGGCGCGAAAGCGUGGGGAGCAAACAGGAUUAGAUACCCUUGUAGUC